ACCCUGAUGCAGCCAUGCCGCGUGUGUGAAGAAGGCCUUCGGGUUGUAAAGCACUUUCAGUCGUGAGGAAGGCAUAUGCGUUAAUAGCGCAUGUGUUUGACGUUAGCGACAGAAGAAGCACCGGCUAACUCCGUGCCAGCAGCCGCGGUAAUACGGAGGGUGCGAGCGUUAAUCGGAAUUACUGGGCGUAAAGCGCAUGCAGGCGGCUUGUUAAGCCAGAUGUGAAAGCCCGGGGCUCAACCUCGGAAUAGCAUUUGGAACUGGCAGGCUAGAGUCUUGUAGAGGGGGGUAGAAUUUCAGGUGUAGCGGUGAAAUGCGUAGAGAUCUGAAGGAAUACCGGUGGCGAAGGCGGCCCCCUGGACAAAGACUGACGCUCAGAUGCGAAAGCGUGGGGAGCAAACAGGAUUAGAUACCCUGGUAGUCCACGCCGUAAACGAUGUCUACUUGGAGGUUGGUGUCUUGAACACUGGCUUUCGGAGCUAACGCGUUAAGUAGACCGCCUGGG
rnacentral:rRNA from 1 species